rnacentral:lncRNA from 1 species
CUGAAAUGCUAUACAGACUCCAGUGAGAAAAAACUGAGAUCACAUAGCUUUGCUUCCAUACCUAAAUUACUACAAAUUUGUGUCCGCUUGAAUGUUAUGUAAUUUAACCAGAAAUUGAAGAAAUACCACCAUUUUAAAGAAAAUAUGGUCAUAAACACUAUGGAAUACUAUGCAACCAUAACAAGAAUGAAAUCAUGUCCUUUGCAGCAACAUGGAUGUAGCUGGAGGCCAUUAUCCUGGGCAAAUUUGCAGGAGCAGAAAACCAGAUACCACAUCUCACAUUGAAAAAGGGAGGCAGAGGAUACAGAGAAGUAGAUGUGACUAUGGAAGCAGAGAUCAGAGUGAUGAAACUGCUAGCUGGAGCCACGUGCCAAGGAAUGGAAGCAGCCCCUAGAAGCUGGAAAAGGUGAAGAAAUGCAGUCUCCCAAAGAGCUUCCAGAAGGAAUCCAUGCCUGCCAAUGCAUUGAUUUUGGUCUCAUGAAACGUAUUUAAGACAUAUGAUCUCUAGAGUUCUGAUAAACUUGUAUUGGUUUAAGCCACUAUGUUUGUGGUCAUUUGUUACAGCAGCAAAAGGAAAUUAAUACAUUAGUGUUGUAUAAUUUUAAUAUAUAAUUUCUGUAAAUGUUUUGUUAGAUUUAUACCUACAUUUUUAUUUUUGAGGGAUUAUAAUUGUAUUUUAAGUGUUGGGGUUCAUGUGUUUAUUGCAAAUAUGUAGAAUUAAAAUUAAUUUUUGCAUAUUUUUUGUCCUAUGACCUUGCUGAUUAGUUAUUAGUUGUUAGUUUGUACAAGAUUUUUGUAGAUUCAUUGGAAUUUUCUAUGUAGAAGACAAUUGUGCCUUCCGCAAAUGGGAUGAUUUUAUAUAUUACAUCCUGAUCUGUAGUCUUUCAGCUUUCUUUAUCUUGCCCUAUUGUACUUACCAGAACUUCCAGCACUAAGUUGACUAAAAGUGGUGAGAAUUAACAUCCUGUUUCUGUACCUGAUCUUGAGGAGAAAGUAUCAAUUCUCCCCAGUCAGUAUAAUGUUAGUUGCAGCUUUUCAGCUGAUGCUUUGUAUCAAGGUGAGAAAAU